UGCAAAACAAAGUCGCGAUCAAAGCGACA
rnacentral:sRNA from 1 species